GAUGAACGCUGGCGGCGUGCCUAAUACAUGCAAGUCGAGCGAACGGACGAGAAGCUUGCUUCUCUGAUGUUAGCGGCGGACGGGUGAGUAACACGUGGAUAACCUACCUAUAAGACUGGGAUAACUUCGGGAAACCGGAGCUAAUACCGGAUGAUAUUUUGAACCGCAUGGGUCAAAAGUGAAAGACGGUCUUGCUGUCACUUAUAGAUGGAUCCGCGCUGCAUUAGCUAGUUGGUAAGGUAACGGCUUACCAAGGCAACGAUGCAUAGCCGACCUGAGAGGGUGAUCGGCCACACUGGAACUGAGCCACGGUCCAGACUCCUACGGGAGGCAGCAGUAGGGAAUCUUCCGCAAUGGGCGAAAGCCUGACGGAGCAACGCCGCGUGAGUGAUGAAGGUCUUCGGAUCGUAAAACUCUGUUAUUAGGGAAGAACAUAUGUGUAAGUAACUGUGCACAUCUUGACGGUACCUAAUCAGAAAGCCACGGCUAACUACGUG
rnacentral:rRNA from 1 species